UACAGAGGUCUCAAGCGUUGUUCGGAUUCAUUGGGCGUAAAGGGUGUGUAGGUGGCGCGCUAAGUCGGGUGUGAAAUUUCGGAGCUUAACUCCGAAACUGCAUUCGAUACUGGCGUGCUUGAGGACUGGAGAGGAGACUGGAAUUCAUGGUGUAGCAGUGAAAUGCGUAGAGAUCAUGAGGAAGACCAGUGGCGAAGGCGGGGUCUCUGGACAGUUCCUGACACUGAGACACGAAGGCCAGGGGGAGCAAACGGG
rnacentral:rRNA from 1 species